ACUCCUGCGGGAGGCAGCAGUGGGGAAUUUUGGACAAUGGGCGAAAGCCUGAUCCAGCAAUGCCGCGUGUGUGAAGAAGGCCUUCGGGUUGUAAAGCACUUUUGUCCGGAAAGAAAUCCUUGGCUCUAAUACAGUCGGGGGAUGACGGUACCGGAAGAAUAAGCACCGGCUAACUACGUGCCAGCCGCCGCGGUAAUACGUAGGGUGCGAGCGUUAAUCGGAAUUACUGGGCGUAAAGCGUGCGCAGGCGGUUUGCUAAGACCGAUGUGAAAUCCCCGGGCUCAACCUGGGAACUGCAUUGGUGACUGGCAGGCUAGAGUAUGGCAGAGGGGGGUAGAAUUCCACGUGUAGCAGUGAAAUGCGUAGAGAUGUGGAGGAAUACCGAUGGCGAAGGCAGCCCCCUGGGCCAAUACUGACGCUCAUGCACGAAAGCGUGGGGAGCAAACAGGAUUAGAAACCCUAGUAGUCCCAUGA
rnacentral:rRNA from 1 species